UCCCCUCCAGGUGGUCUACCCUAUGAGUUUAAGGUGGUGAUAGCAGGGAACCAUGAGCUGACCUUCGAUAAGGACUUUAUGGCUGAGCUGGUGAAGCAGGAUUACUACCGUUUUCCCUCCGUGUCCAAACUGAAGCCCGAGGACUUCGAUGACGUCCAGGACCUCCUCACUAACUGUGUGUACCUCCAGGACUCUGACGUCACCGUCAAAGGCUUCCGGAUAUAUGGGACGCCAUGAGGUGGAUUCAUUCAUAACAUCAUCUAUCAAUGAAUCCAGGCUGCAUCACAUCCGGACGGGAUUGGGAGUCCCAGCGCCGUCCGGGUUUGGCCGGUGUAGGCCGUCAUUGUCAAUAAGAAUUUGUCUUUAACUGACUUGCCUAGUUAAAUAAAGGUUACAUAUCUAUAUUUAUUUAUGUAAUUGUCUAGUUGUAAACGGUAAGCCUCCAACAGACUUUAUAUGACUUGUCUUGGUCCCGUGUUUUAACACACUGUUCCACCACUACAACUCCUCUAGAUCCCUUUGGAAGGGCAGCUUACACCAGGUUAUCUUCCCUCAUUCUCCUCUGUCCCCUCCCUAUAGAGUUUACACCAGGUUAUCUUCUCUCAUUCUCCUCUGUCCCCUCCCUAUAGAGUUUACACCAGGUUAUCUUCUCUCAUUCUCCUCUGUCCCCUCCCUAUAGAGUUUACACCAGGUUAUCUUCUCUCAUUCUCCUCUGUCCCCUCCCUAUAGAGUUUACACCAGGUUAUCUUCUCUCAUUCUCCUCUGUCCUCUCCCUAUAGAGUUUAAACCAGGUUAUCUUCUCUCAUUCUCCUCUGUCCUCUCCCUAUAGAGUUUACACCAGG